AGAGCCAUAUAAAACUAAGGAGAAACCAUUUUAGGAUGAGGGAACAAACCCUGAAGGUGUGAACAAGCUCGGUGCAUCUAGACAUGUAAGGAAGGUUCCAGCAUGUGAAGGAGCGAGGACGGAGAAGGGUCCGGUGAGGUCUUACAGCAACAGAGGGUCCAGCCACAUGAGGCUGAGCAGCCAAGUGAUCUGCCUAGGCCAGCUCCCCUUCAUCUUCUGCCAUGAGUGGAAGCAGCCUGAGGCCCUCACCAGAAGCAGAUGUUGGCACUAUGCUUCUUAGACAGCCUGCAAAACUCUGGGAAAGCGGAAAUCUGGAGAACUAAAAUAUCUUGCUGAAGAUCACAAUGCAGUAAAGCAUAGGGCAAGUUUCCAACUCGAACAUCACCCCAGAACACUUCCUUUUAAACAUAAAUUAUGUUGCUAACUUUUUUAUUGUUACUUAGCAGGCAGAUUUCAAACUGAUACAAAUGUUGAAAAUGAUACAAAAUGUUUUCCCACCUUAAAGGCAUUCUGAAACCUAGCACAUAACAUCUGUCACUGAAGUCCAUAGUUUCCAAUGCCAUGAUUGGAUAAAGACCCUAUUGAGACUCAUGUGUUUGUCUCUCACUGCUUAAAACACUCAUGUGUUUUAAGCAACAUGACAAGCACAAAAGAGAACAAGUACUGCUCCUGCUCUCCAGGAAGUUACCAUAAAAUAAAGGGGAUAAGGUGCCUUCCAAAGAAAAAACAAAUACUAGGAGAGGUCAGAGGAGAAGAGAGAUUAUUCCAGAAGGAGAGACUGAGGCAGAUUUCAGGAGGGAAGAAUAUAAGAGUCCCAAAAGAAGAAACAGGAACCCAGGUUAGAGAGCAAUGGGCAAGGGGUAGGAGGUGAGACUAAACUCACAAGGAAGUUGCUUCAAAACAAUAGUGCCCCAAAUGCCAAGCUGAUGGGUUGGACCCAUUUAGGAAAAACCCACAAAGUCCACAGGAGAGCAGACUGCACUUCCAUGAGCUUCAAGCUGUAAACAGUAACCUCAAAUAAAACUUUUCCCGGAUCGGUAAUUUCCAUCCUGAACAAUGGCCAAGUCAAGGAAGCUGAGGAUCGAGCCCCCUACCGCAUGCCACAAAGAACCUCAAGGGACCCCAUGCUCUGGGGAGCUCGCAGGAGGACCAGCACAGAGGUGUGACUGCGUUGGGGCAGGGUGGCCACAUGUACAAUGUUGUACCUUCCAAUGUUCCUCCUUAGGCUGUGCUUAUGAAGUCCCAACAUGUCUUCUGGGCUGUGUUUUCAACCAAGAGAGUUAAUAAAAAGUGGGAUGGGCACCAACUAUGCCUCCAGAGACAUCAGGCAGAAUAUGCCACAGCGUGCCAUGUCCUCCUGCAAACAGUCAGAAAGAAAAGAUCUCUAAAAGCAGAUUGGAAGAGACUAUAUAUACAGAGCGAGUGCCGGUACAGAAGUUUUGCUGCAAAUACACCCUCUAAUCCCUUGCAACCCACUGCAAGCUCGAGAGACCAGUGCCCUUGGUAAAACAUAGGAGAGAUCAUUAAUUAAAGCCUAGGCCCUUUCUUUGAUCCUGAGGGAUAAGGCUUGGGAAAAUGCACAGUGAUAAAAGUGAACAUUUUAAAAGAGCAGAGUGAGUGUGAAUUCCCAAAGAGACCAUUCAUAUCAAGACCCAAGCCAUGAGAAAAUGCUACAAUGCCCUUGAUCAAUACUUUAUAGGCAUUUUGACCUCAGAUCUAAUCCCAUGAGGCUUAGACCAAGACCUUGCUUGAUGCAGACCUCUCUGACUGCUGAAAUUGGUCAGGAGCUCAGUGAUGAAAAUUUGGAAAGUCAAUGCUGAUACCUGAAGAAAGUCCCAUCAGAGAUCUGUGACCUGAAUCUUCAUAACUUUCACAGGCCCUUUCUAAAUGCCAAGGAGGAUGUGUGUGGAGAAGAAUAUGCCACCUAUGGCAUCCCAAUAUGCCUGUGCCCGCCUGCUCUUCAACAAGGGAAUGAAACCUGGGUAUUCUCAUAGGUUUUUUAAAGCACUUGUCCACAUAUUUUAUUCCGCAAAUAACACAAUUUAAAAUUCAGCUAGAAUUUGCCAUUUUCUGUCAGGGUUGUGCAUUUCUUCCAGUCACCAUGACUUCCUGAGAUAGCCAAAACACAAAAUUUAAAUUGUGUUUAAAUUAAAUAAACACAAUUUAUGCUGAAGCUGACUUUACCCACUCUGUUCCAACAUUACUUAUCCUCAGCAUCUCUGAAUUCAAAUAUCAGCCAGGUGUGGUGGCUCAUACCUGUAAGCCCAGCACUUUGGCAAGCCAAGAUGGGAAGGUUGCUUGAGGAGUUGGAGACCAGCCUGGGCAACAUAGCAAGACCCCCAUCUCUACAAAAAAAUUAAAAAAUUAGCCAGGCAUGGUGGUAUGCACCUUUAGUCCUAGCUACUUGGGAGGCUGAGGUGAGAAGAUCACUUGAGCCCAGGAGCUUGAGGUGGCAGUGAGUCAUGAUCAUACCACUGCACUGUAGCCUGAGCAACAGAGCAAGACCCCAUCCCUUAAAAAAAAUACCUGCCCUCUGUACUUCAUAGCACCUGGGGCAUUUUGAACAGUUCUUCCUUCACCUGAGGUCAUUAUUUGAGAAUCCAAUUUUAGAGACUACAAUGCUCUCAUUACUUGGAUUGUAUCAUUUAAUCUUCCCAACAAUCCAGGAAGGGGAGUCUCUUAAUGAUUGUCCUUGAUUUCCAGUUAAAAAAUCUAGACCCAGAGGUAACCUUGUGAAGGUCACAGAGUUUCAGAGUUCUAAGAUCCCAUGCGAGAUUGCUGAACUUGAACUUGUUUCUUCUGAUCUCAUGUCAAUAAGUGACUUAGUCAACACCUGGGUAGAAAUCAUCACUAAAGUGAGAAAGCACAUGGUGAGGGGGAUGAAUCCUGUGCCCACAUGGUCCCUUUCACCUGCCCAAUCCUCAGGCCUCUCACCUGGGGUACCCCUCACACACAUGGCACUUUCCUGAACUCAUGGACAUUUCAGUUUGUAACGAUCCUCCUAAGAUUAUCUACUUUCACCUAUCCACAUUUGAACUAUACUUCUUUAGUGGAAAAAAAGAAAUAAAGCCAGUGCUGAGAAUGAUCAAACUCCAGAAAUAGUAGACUGCUGUAUAAUUUGUCUUGCGUGACACCAGAUCUUUCAAGGAACUGCAAGCUCAAGUGCACAGUUAAGCAAGAUCAAGAUCUACCUUUGUCUUUCAGAGCCUUCCCUUGGCGAGGUCAAGGAUAUCUGCUGUGAGCCUGGGCUGGCUGAACCAAAGGGCAAUGGAGGCGGCCAAGAAGCCCCAGCCAACUGCUCCCCUCCCCAACCCCCUUCUCCCUGGAGGUCCCUUCAGCUAGAAUUUGCCAUUUUCUGUCAGGGUUGUGCAUUUCUUCCAGUCACCAUGACUUCCUGAGAUAGCCAAAAGCAUUUGCUGUGAGCAGAGCCCCAUGGCUGGCUUUGCACAUCAAACAUUUCAGACAGCCAUAUAUUUCAUAGAAUACAAGGGGAAGAUAACACUGGACACACAGAACUUUCCAACAGCUUGAGAAAAUGUGGUGCCUGGUGACUGACUAAAUAUACAAUCGGACAACAGCCAGGCCAUAGCAAAAGAUGGAACUCUGAUCCACAAGGUGCAGCAACUUUCCCAGAAAACAAUACCCUUACCCACAAAAAGCAACCCCGGAAGCUGGCCUGCUCUAAAUCAGACCUGCUGGAAGCCAAAUUGCUCUCUAGUAACUAUCCAGGAAGCUAAAUAAUAACUUCUGUAACAAUUGACUCAAAAUGUUCAGGACUGGAUUAAUAACUGAUGGCUUCCCUAAUUUUUGUCCCCGAUUCCAACUUAGGACCCACCAGAGAAAGCCAAAUAUGGUCCCCUGACCAAGCACACAGGAUGUUCGCUUCUAGUGAGCCGCCUCCAGCUUCCCCGCAUUGAUAACCUCCAAUCAGGGCACACCUGAAGCCUUCGCCUUUUUCCACUAUAAAGCUCUCCCACUCGUCUGCCCACCUUUGAGUCUCUGCCAAAUUGCAAAUGAUGGUGUCUGACUCCCUUGCUGUAGCAAGCUCUGCAUAAUAGCUUGUGCUUAUUCUCUUUGGGUAGGUCUUCAUUUCUUUUCACACCAGAUAGGCAUCAUCUUUGAAAACAUCUUUACUGGGUCUCUUGUCUCCCUCCUGCAGCCACUGAUCUAAAUCACAGACUUUUUUAGAAAGAGGGAAAAUAGUAAAGAAAGAAAGCGAUUGAGUUGAUGCUCCCAGCCACUGUCUGUACCCUGAAUUUUGUUUUUCUGCCAUAUGUCAGGUGGCCUCUCCUGGACCAUCGUCACUGUUUCUCCUGCUUCCCUGCAGCUGCAGACACAGGAGCACUGUGUAGGUCUGGCCUUGAGCACCCACCCACCCAGUACAGAGCCAGCCCCUGCUGUUCUGAAUCAGUGCAGUGACCACUUAGAACACAGUGCCCAUGCCUCUGUGAUCUGAACUGCUCUUUCCAGUUCCAUACAAUGUUAAGAACCCACUUAAGAAUGUUUUAAUCAUUCAGUAGUUUUUCGUGGUAUAUAAUAAAAAAGUGAUUUAAAUACAAUCUAUUUUAUUUUAGAUUAUAUCAUUAGGGGUUAUUUUACAAAGUUACCUUUAAAUACUAUUGUAAAUAAAAUUAAUAACAAAUAAGCAAAAUUCUUACUUUUCCUUGUUUGACAAUUGACAUGGUCAAUUUAAUUUCCUUUAAAUUAAUUAUGCAAGAAAAGGAUAUUUCCUCAAGAAAAUUUAAAAUGAUAUAUAUUUCUUGGUUGGGUGCCAAAUAUUCAUUCAGAAGAAGACGGAAAUUUAAAUCCUUGUUUCUAAUUUAAGGAAAAAACUACUUUCAUUAUUGGAUGUGUGAAAUUCACCCAUUUUGUGUUUAUCUAGAAAAUCUAGUUUAUUGUCCAAAUGUUCUUAUUUUCCCCAAAAGCAUCAGUUAGGAGAGAAGAUUUCCAGCUGCCAUUAAAAUACAAUUGUGUGCAAUGAAUACAUUUUGGGUAUAGAUAGUUUUUAUUCUCUAUAAAUGAAAUGCCAAAUUGGAUAGAACCAUCCUUUUUUUUUUUUUUUCAAAAAAAAAAGGCUUUUGGAGUAUCAGAGACAUCCUCUUAUGUUAUUUUAAAAUAAAUAAUUAUUUGAGCUGUUUGCUUCUUGGAAGCAGAUAACAAGGGGGCAGGUGAGAUAAAAAAAAAAUAUAUCCAAACUGAGGUGAGACCAAAGAUGGCCAAUCUAAGAACCAGGCAGAUGUCUCUGCCUGUCCUGGGAAGAUUCCCUCACCAGGCUCCCUCACUGGCCAGAGGAGCCCACUUGUUGGGCUGCCAACUGGUUCCUAUAAAUUCUAAGGCAAUUAGAAUCAUGUGGUGACUGUAACGGGAAUGACACAGCUGCCCAGGCAUUAGAAGGAAACCACACCCAAUGGCUCAAGCCAGUGGCGAGAGAUAAAAACUGAGAGACAUCUCCCCUGACUAGCAGACUGGGCUCCCUGCUUCCCCAUUGCUUCCUUUAAACAGGCCAUUCACACAUUUGCCUGAAAACUUACAGUGGCCCAGACCCUACUCCCUAUACACACUGCCAGUUGCCAUGUGCCUUGUUUCUCUCUCUCUGCAUGAUGCUUCAUUCCUAUCUGGAGUGGCCCAGGGACAAAGGACUGCCCUCCCGACUCUCUGUGCCCUCCCUGCCCAGGAUCCGUAAAUUACACUUUUUGAAUUUGUUUCCUACUGUGGUGUAUAUUGCCUUUGCACCUUCCAUCUGAAGACCAGGGGAUGCCCCAGGCCAGGUUUUACCUGGGAUGCCCAAGAGAGCACAAGGUUUGGCUCCCAGCGCCAGAGCAAUGGGCAGGGGGGCAUAAACUGAACACAGGAAAGGCAAGAGCCACAAAGACAUAUAAACAAGUUUCCCAGGCGAGGAGCCCCUGGUCACAGGUCAGACAACUAGGCAUUGGGCCAUCUACCAGGUAAAAGCAGCAUCCUAUGAAAGGCACGCAGUAAAUACCAUGUCCAUCUCCCCUUCAUUUCCCCUUAGGGCGGUUUGCUAGCUGUUCUGGGACUGGAACCUCAGUUUAGCUGGGGGCUCUCAGAACAGACAGCUAGAUGAAUUAAACAAUGAAGUCUCUCAGCCUUAGGCACAUCUUCCAGGACAAGGGGAAGGCCAGGGGAGAGUAACAUCAGUGAUCCUACAAGAUGUGCUUCCAGGCCAAGGCCAGGUUGCAGUUGCAGCUACUUAGCCAUGGUACACGGUGGGCCUGGAGCUUCUGGGUGUGCAAAGAUGUGACUCAAGAGUCCAUCUGCCAGCAGUGAGCAGGGCAGGCCAGCUCUCCUCUCACUGGUACGGUGGUUCCAGCCCUCACAGGACAUUAAAACCACCUGGAAACUGUUUAUGAAGGUUCCUAUAUUCAGGAAAAAUCCCUAGAGAUUCUGACCGAAGGAAUUUGGUGCUGCCUGGGUACCAGUAUUUUUAAAUUUCCCCAGAUGAUCCUAACAUGCAGUCUGAGUGAAAAACCCAAGUUUGACGGCUACAGGAAUUUAGAGCUUCUCUAAAACAUACAGGGAAUAAUACCAGGGCCAUACAUUGGAAGUCCUUCCAUUGGGAAUGCAAAGAAAAAAGAAAAAGAUGGCCAACAUCUACCAUUUUAAAGGGAUUCCAGCAAGCAUAUUAUUAAAUGCAGGGCUGCCUCUGGCAUCUGGAAGCAGCUUGGGUGCCCUGGAUAUAAUUCUCUUUUAAAAGUUUUUUUCACAGCUUUUAUAGACCACUUAAAACUGGCCUUCAUCUUGUGCCAAAAUAGCAGGGCUGUGUUUGUUUAGCUUCAAGAUUUUCAGGUCCAAUUGAUUAAAAAAGGUGAGUGAGAAGCCUGCCAACACACAGUGAGGCUGUCACCCAGGCAGCUGCUGCUGCUGGCUUCCAGCAUCCAGAAGCUGGAACAUCAGCCAGCUCCAAUCACCUGACAGAGGAUGGAUCCUAUGAGAAGGAGGACCGGGGCUUAAAACCAGACGUACCCACUGAAGUCAGGGCAGGAGAUGAAAAUCUUAACAAGUGAAGGAGGUAUGAAAACAACAGAUUCUAGGGAUCAGCAACCAAUGAAUGAGGGUCCAUUUUUUGAAAAACAAAUACUUCUACUGGCUGUCUUUUGAGUGCCAGGCAUUAAACAAAGUGGAAGAAAAAAAUUGGAGGGUGACUCAACAGAUGGACCAGAUCAAUAAUGAGGGGUAAUUUGAGCAGGACAAGGCUGGAGCUGGAAGUGCAUGCAGGAUGCCAGCAUCAGAGCAGCCAGGCAUCAGAGAGCCAGCCUUGACUACUCGCCGGGCCUCAGGGGCUGAGCCUUCGUCCCAGGACAAGGGAGUGGCCAGAGCUUGGCUGGCCCCGUUCCAGAUGAGGACUGUGAUACCAGUCAGGUCAACGAGCACCGAUAGAGGUAGGGCCCAAUAUAGGACCGUGUCUCACAAUGGUGCAGACCCGCAGUCCAACACACAGGAAGGAUGCUUGUUGCUAAGUCUUAGACACGGGAACUGGAGGAGGGUUGAGGGCCCCCAGCAGUGGGAAGGCAGGCAUGGCAUGCAGACGGUGGACGCGGACUCAAGACACCAACUCUCAUCACUACAGGUCCGUGGUUUGGAAAGUCCCAGCACCAUUCCAGAGAAGGAAACAGGCCCAGGUUUCUGAUGGGGAUGGGUAGUAGCCACAGAGCACAAGUCAGCCGCACCCACCACACACUUGCUGUAGUGCCACACUCUCGGCCCUAGAGGGCACUGACGCUUUCCCUUCGCUCUGCCCCAGGGCCAGGGCCAAAGCCAUCAAGUCCUGGGCAGAGGGCGGGAGCGUUCAGUGAGAGCAGCACAGAGGUUAAAGAGCUGCUCUUUUUUGAGAUCUUCGCUCUCACUUCCUUUCCAGGCAGCCAGUUCAGCAAGGUGGGUCUGGGGCUGCCUCCUGGGAGAAGAGGCCUUUCACCCUCGAACCCUGCAGGACCUCAGUUUGUCCCAGGGCAAACCUCCUACAUUGGGCAGUUAGGUCAGACCUGCUUCAGGCCUUGGAAGACUGUCUUCUCCUUGGCUUCUCUUACUGCACUGGAUCCAGCCAGGACACUGAUCAGACCUCCAGGGCCCAGGUUAACAAUAUGUGGCCCAGCUCUGGGAGAGAAGCCAGCAGGUCUCCCAGGCUUUUGAACUCGGAGCUGAAAACCAAACAAAAAAACGAAUCCACCCCAUUGACAAGUGGCCCAGCCUAGUUGGCCAGUCAGGAGACUGCACAGGCACUGAGGCCAAAGCUGCCUUGGAUUAAGAGGUAUGGAUGCCACCGCUGCCCUUUUACUACAGGUACACUGGCCGGGAACCUGUAGCACUGAGUGACACCUGAUCAGAGAGUCACCCACUGGCUGGGUCUCCCCCAACUCAGAUGCAUGGCUAACAAUCACUAGCUAAGCAUGUAUUCACUCUGUGGAAAGCCACGUCACGUUCAUAUAUUUAUUAUCUCAUGUAUUAAUAUACUGAUGUACCACAUUAUUCUAAUUUACUACCUCACUUAAUUCUUACAACAACCUAAUGUGAUGGGCAAUAUUAUUAUUAGCUCCAUUUUACAGAUGAAGAAACAAGACCUGAAAAGGUUAAACAACUUGCCCAAGAUCAUCCAGCCAAGUCAUGAUAAAGCUGCACUUGAACACACACUUCUCAGAUUCCAAAGCCCAAGUUUCUCUCUACUAACUGUAUGGCCCCUGCACUCAAAAACUGAGAAAUCUCUCUGCCCUGGUGAGUUUCUUCCUCUACGUCAGUAUGCAUAGAGCUCAGGGCUGUACUUUCCUUCACUAGUGAUAUGGUUUGGAUCUGUGUCCCCAUCCAAGUCUCAUGUUGCAAUGUAAUCCUCAGUGCUGGAGGUGGGGCCCGGUGGAAGGUGAUUGGAUCAUAGGGGCAGUUUCUCAUUAAUGAUUUAGCACCAGUGGAAGGUGAUUGGAUCAUAGGGGCAGUUUCUCAUUAAUGAUUUA